UUUGCAGCCUCCGGAGGAUCCUCAGCACUUUCCUUCUUCCUCCCCAAAUCGCGCCGCCAGCCCUUCCAUUCUCCCAAUCCCGCCGCCGCCAUGCUCUACAAGAACAUCCACCUCGCAAGUUCUCCCCUACCGUCACCCGGAGAUGAGCUGUUGGAGUCAGAUGCCUCUCCUAAUCGUGCUGCCAGCCCUGCUCCUCGCAAUCGCACCACCACGAUGCCGUACAAGCACAUCCGCCCCAUACCAAGCCAGUGAGAUCUGGAAGUCAGGGACGACGGUGAGCAAAUCCUCGGCGGUAAUCGUUGGCCUCCAAUGUUUCUUGAUUCAAAUGAAUCGUUGGCCUCCAUUGUUUCUCAGCACCCAAGAUAUGGAUUUAAGAAGAGAUCAAGGAGGAGAGACGACUUUCUAUUUUUCUAUGUCCUCACGGCACAGCAGUCAUACUGCCAAAGGGGUGGACAAAGUUGGUUUGACUUUGGUAUCUAUGUACCCGAUAGCUGGGCAUCAAGAAUCUGGAGAAUCCAUCACCUAGCUUAGCCACUGUUGUCUAAAAAGCGCCAACAUAGAGCUGCUUUGAUGAUACUGCCCGUACUGAUCGAUAACCCAGCGCCUAAGGGAUCCGGAGCACGCCAAUCGUCAAUUGGCAGAUACGGCCGCGGAUGGCGGGGAGGAAGGGGAUAGGGCGAGGCCAUUGCCGCUCGAUGAAUCGUUGGUGGAGAAUUAGCCGGGCCACACCCCACAAUCAUGACAAUUUCAAGCAUUUCAGGGAUCGAAGAACUCUUAGCGAUAAUAGGUGAUUCAUUAUAACAAGGAAAGAAAGGGAAAGCCAACAUACAAGAGAGAGAAAGAGAUAGAGAGAAUGUCUAGUGCAAUCUGCACGCCAUAUAUGUGUGGUCACUUCUCAUUGUUGCUAAUUUUUUAUUUAUUUUACCUGUACUUCCUUUCAAGGCUGCACUGCAUUUUGCAGCACUCUCAUACUUCAUCAGCUAGGUGGAGUAGAGACCUGAUCCUGCAAUCCGGGGGAUGAGAAAGAGUUGCAUAUGGAUAAAAUGGAUGGAAAGAACCAGAGUGACCACAAGGUGAGAAAGAUAUCUUGCCGUAUACGGGUGUAUAUUUUGAAAUCGUUGUGAUGUCAGUUUGAAAAACAGGGGUAAUUAUUGAGUUGACCAAAUAGUUGAUUUGUGCUUAUUAGUGAAAAUUCAUCGAAGGUGUUGCGACCUACUUCAUUUGCGGAGUUGUUGGAAGUUGAACUAUCCAUUCUACAUGGUUAGAAUUUCACUGCCAAUCUUUUUGAUGCAGUUGACAUCAAAAUCUCUGGCUGAGGUUGUGUGGUUAUAACCUUAUUCCCAAUCAUUUGGUACUGUUGGAAAUUAGAACUCCCUCUUAAAAAAAAUUCCUCUAUACCACUACAGACCAAUUUAUUUUCUAGGAACUUAGAAAGGCUGACAAUGAUGUUUACUGGGAUUUCCAUUAGUGGAUCGGAGUGUGUGAUGUCAUGGUUAUAAUAAUAGUGUCCAUAGACCGAUCAGUGCCACAAGGUGAGUUGGAAAGUUAGUACUAUAAACAGUGUGUUGGUCUACAAGCAGUAGAGAAAAGCGCCACCUGGUAUUAUGCCUAGAUCUCCAAUUGGCUUUGAUUGGAUGGAUUUAUGUAAUUUUGGGCUAUUGGUAAUUAAGAUUGGCUACGUUUCUUUUCUUCUCUGCAAUAUUUUUAUAGACAUGAUAUCCAAGGAAAGUUGUCACAUGCAAGUAAUAACAAGUGAUAAAAAAACAGCAACUUGGGGUCAUCAAAAAUUCAUUAUCUUAUUUUUAAUAAAAUUAUGCCAGUUCAAGGCAGCUAAACUUUGCUGCGGAGUGAAAACUGGUUUUCCAGAGAAAACUUCACCAUUGAUUUACACAAUGUGUCUUUUGUUGUAUUUUCUUGUUUCUAAAUCAAUGCCUAAUUACAUUCUUUUUAAAUGUUGAUAACUUGACGGGUGCAGAUUCAUCAUUACCAGCUUGAUUCUUGACCUUACCUGGAAAUUGAUAUUUAUUUUUAGAUGGCAAUGUAUUUAUUUUUAGAAAAUGAACUUCGUCCAACAUAAAUUACAUUAGUAUUUAGUUACUUUCCCAUUUUAUUUGCUUCUACCUGAACUGGAGUAUCCCUUAAAACUUAGGUCGUAGACAAGAGCCAUAAUAUAUUUACCUUCAUUACUGAGGAGAGUUUUGUCUUUUCUUUUCCAUCGCCUUGAUGAACAAGUAAACCUUCAGAUUUGGAUACCUUCACUUUUCUGUGACUUCAAUGAAAUACUCAAUUCUACUUAACAGAGUUAUAUUAUGUGUAUUUUGGUUUAGAUAUCUCAACAUAUUAUUCUUGAUCUAUCGGGGCUUGCAUUCUGCAUGGACUAUACAGUGUUGGAACUUUAUGAGGAUGACAUAUCUUAUCAUGCGCAUGGUCUAGACUUUAUGGCAUGAGAUCAGCACGUUAUUCCCUAUUCUCCCACUACGUCAAGCCUUUCAGCGUUCCUUUGGUCGCAUCAUCGUCGUGCUUCGUCGUCCACGUGGGCCAGCACAAUUAAAACCUGCGCGUCUCUCUAAGUAUAGGUAGUUGAGAACCACAUGUUAUUUGGGUUUCUUCUCUCUGAGUGCAUCAAACCAGCCCUUAUCGGACAUUCAAGUUCGUUUGCCUAGAUCAUAUUGCGUGAACUCCCAAAGGCAUACCUGAAGCUUCAGCAAGAAAAUUUUCAUACUCUAUCAACAACUUUCUUUCUUGCAACCUGAAACACUCUGUGGGGGGGGACAAAAAUUUCAGAAGCCACGCAUCUCGGUGGAGGAAAAUUUCCAGAAGCCAAAUUGUGCAAUAUCAUAGGCGAGUUCAACAGCAGUCCGUUGCAACACCAUAGAGGAUUUGAAUGGAAACAAAUAUUGGUUAUCCUUUUUUGUACUUUUGCCAUGUGAGAACUGCAUAAUGAUUUUCAGAAUGAGUCGAGUUCUUGCACUGCCACUCUGUUCACUGAUGGAGUAAAAGGGGAGGAGCAUCGCGAGGCUUCGCGUGAGGGACAUGAGGAGUGGGACAAGUUUGUCGUUGGCGAGGACAUGCGGCUUGUGGCGAUGAGGGGUGGGGGCGAGAUGCUGGGAAGAGAGGAGCGGGAGGCAGGGGAAAUUAGGCGGCGGUGGAGGCCGUUCGGUGUCAUUGGCAGUAGGAGACGACGAUCCGGUGGCGCUCCAUAGGCAUGUGUGCGCGUUGAGGCAAAGAGAACCAGUGAAUCUCGUUGACCCUUUAUUUAUCUCUCUUUGACUUCUCCGGCUGCUCAGUACUAGAUUUUUCUACACCCGCCAGCGCUGAGGCAAGACGCAUGCAACAUGCCUGUAAUCGAUGGGACGUACCGUAUCAAGAUUUUUCUACACCAGUCCAACCAUAUUUUUAUUUUACUUCAUUCCGUAUUUAUUCUGAAGAUUAUUUUAGGAUUGCUUUGACAGACUGGGUUGUUUCUUAGAUCUUCUCAAUCAGGCAUAAUAUGUAGUCACCUCUUAUUUGUUGUUACUAGACGUAUGUACAAGAUUUGACU